rnacentral:lncRNA from 1 species
GGGUUCCCCACGCCCAGCAUGCUUUAGACAUUAUCCACAGACUUCCCACUACGGAAGAUGAGAAUGUAGCUGUCUCACGUAUUCUCACCUCCUGUCUCCUGAUGCCCCCAGCUACUUCCCUCCUCUCAUGCAUCCAGCACAGAUGUGUAAUAAUUGGAGGGUCCCUUGGGAAGCCCCUGUCCUUCUGCUCUGAUGUUUUUUGGUUGCUCUCUAAGCCUGCAGCCUUGCCAUCCUCCUGAGAUGUCUCAGCACCAGCCUGCAGGUUCCCUUCAUCUGUCUCCUGUAUCAGAUUCCAAGCUGCCUGGAUUCCACAACCUCUCUCUUUGUUUCCCUUCAUCAUUUUGAUGAGUACAUCCUCUGCUUGCUUUUGAAGAAAGGUUGCAGAGGAGGUGAAUUUUUGAGAACUUGCUUUUUUCUGUUUUCCCUAUUUGCCCAUUUAAUUGAUGGCUUGUGUGGGUACCGACUUCCAGGGUGCUGCAUUAGUCAGAACAGGCGAACUAUUGUACCAAAGAACCCUU